rnacentral:rRNA from 1 species
AGUGAACGCUGGCGGUAGGCCUAACACAUGCAAGUCGAACGGCAGCACAGUAAGAGCUUGCUCUUACGGGUGGCGAGUGGCGGACGGGUGAGGAAUACAUCGGAAUCUACUUUUUCGUGGGGGAUAACGUAGGGAAACAUACGCUAAUACCGCAUACGACCUACGGGUGAAAGCAGGGGCUCUUCGGACCUUGCGCGAUUGAAUGAGCCGAUGUCGGAUUAGCUAGUUGGCGGGGUAAAGGCCCACCAAGGCGACGAUCCGUAGCUGGUCUGAGAGGAUGAUCAGCCACACUGGAACUGAGACACGGUCCAGACUCCUACGGGAGGCAGCAGUGGGGAAUAUUGGACAAUGGGCGCAAGCCUGAUCCAGCCAUGCCGCGUGGGUGAAGAAGGCCUUCGGGUUGUAAAGCCCUUUUGUUGGGAAAGAAAAGCAGCAGGUUAAUACCCCGCUGUUCUGACGGUACCCAAAGAAUAAGCACCGGCUAACUUCGUG